GAGCAUGUCAGACCGCUGUCUCCCCCUACAGCCAUGGAGAAGAACAGUGUCUCAAAAACAUGCAACAGCAACAGUCUCUGGAGUUCACAGGGCCAUUGGUCAACUAGGAAUGACCAAUUGGUAGUAUCAGACUCCAAUACCU